rnacentral:rRNA from 1 species
CGCCUCUUGGCAAAAUAAGAGGUCUAGCCUGCCCAGUGACCCCAGUUUAACGGCCGCGGUACCCUGACCGUGCAAAGGUAGCGUAAUCACUUGUCUUUUAAAUAGAGACUAGUAUGAAAGGCAUCACGAGGAUCAAGCUGUCUCCUUUUUCCAACCAGUGAAACUAAUCUCCCCGUGAAGAAGCGGGAAUACCACUAUAAGACGAGAAGACCCUGUGGAGCUUAAGGCAAGAUAAUUACUGCUCUUUACAAAUCACCUUCCUGAAAACUACAUAUUACAGCACCUUAAUUAUUUAACCUUUAGUUGGGGCGACUGCGGAGUAAAAUUAAACCUCCGCGUUAAACAAACCUCCCACAAAGAGUUACAACUCUGUGCAUCAACACAUUGACAACAAUUGACCCAAUUACUUGAGCAACGAAACAAGUUACCCCAGGGAUAACAGCGCAAUCCAUUUCAAGAGUUCUUAUCGACAAGUGGGUUUACGACCUCGAUGUUGGAUCAGGGUACCCCAGUGGUGCAGCCGCUACUAAAGGUUCGUUUGUUCAACGAUUAAAGCCCUACGUGAUCUGAGU